UACGUAGGCAGCGAGCGUUGUUCGGAAUUACUGGGCGUAAAGAGUGUGUAGGCGGUGCUCCCAGUCUGUUGUGAAAUCUCCCGGCUUAACUGGGAGGGUGCAGCGGAAACUAGAGUGCUAGAGGGUGGGAGAGGUAAGCGGAAUUCCUGGUGUAGCGGUGAAAUGCGUAGAUAUCAGGAUGAACACCUGUGGUGUAGACAGCUUACUGGACCACUUCUGACGCUGAGACACGAAAGCGUGGGUAGCAAACAGG
rnacentral:rRNA from 1 species